rnacentral:rRNA from 1 species
UGCCAGCCGCCGCGGUAAUACGUAUGGUGCGAACGUUGUUCGGAAUCACUGGGCAUAAAGAGCACGUAGGCGGUUUAGUAAGUCCGACUGUGAAAUCCCUCGGCUCAACCGAGGAACUGCAUCGGAUACUGCUGAACUAGAGUGCAGAAGGGGAGAGCGGAAUUCCUGGUGGAGCGGUGAAAUGCGUAGAUAUCAGGAGGAACGCCGGUGGCGAAAGCGGCUCUCUGGGCUUGUCCUGACGCUGAGACACGAAAGCGUGGGGAGCAAACAGGAUUAGAUA